AUAGCAAGUUGGAACCACUCCUUCCCAUCCCGAACAGGACAGUGAAACGACUUCGCGCCGAUGAUAGUGCGGAUUCCCGUGUGAAAGUAGGUCAUCGUCAGGC
rnacentral:rRNA from 1 species